CCAAUAGCGUAUAUUAAAGUUGUUGCGGUUAAAAAGCUCGUAGUUGAACUUCGGGGUCUACCCAUUGGUCAGGCUUAAUUGUCUGUACUGGUGAGAUGGAUCUCUACCUUCUGAGGAACUUUCAUGCCAUUUAUUUGGUGUGAUUGGAAAUCAGGACUGUUACUUUGAAAAAAUUAGAGUGUUUAAAGCAGACUAUCGUCUGAAUACAUUAGCAUGGAAUAAUGAAAUAGGACGGACUGAUUCUAUUUCGUUGGUUUCUAGGAUCACCGUAAUGAUUAAUAGGGAUAGUUGGGGGCAUUAGUAUUCAAUUGUCAGAGGUGAAAUUCUUGGAUUUAUUAAAGACUAACUACUGCGAAAGCAUUUGCCAGGGAUGUUUUCAUUAAUCAAGAACGAAAGUUAGGGGAUCGAAGACGAUCAGAUACCGUCGUAGUCUUAACCAUAAACUAUGCCGACUAGGGAUCGGACGAAGUUAAUUUUAUAAUGACGCGUUCGGCACCUUACG
rnacentral:rRNA from 1 species